GGACCCGCACAAGUAGUGGAGCAUGUGGUUUAAUUCGAAGAUACGCGCAGAACCUUACCAACACUUGACAUGUUCGUCGCGACUUUAAGAGAUUAAAGUUUUCGGUUCGGCCGGACGAAACACAGGUGCUGCAUGGCUGUCGUCAGCUCGUGUCGUGAGAUGUUGGUUAAGUCCCGCAACGAGCGCAACCCUCACUUUUUAGUUGCCAUCAUUAAGUUGGGCACUCUGAAAGAACUGCCAGUGAUAAGCUGGAGGAAGGUGGGGAUGACGUCAAGUCCUCAUGGCCCUUACGUGUUGGGCUACACACGUGCUACAAUGGUAUUUACAACAGGAAGCAAGACUGCGAAGUUAAGCAAA
rnacentral:rRNA from 1 species